AAUGUAACUUGGCUAAUGUGUCUUGGCUAAUGUGUCUUGGCUAAUGUGUCUUGGCUAAUGUGUCUUGGCUAAUGUGUCUCGGCUAAUGUGUCUUGGCUAAGGUGUCUUGGCUAAGGUGUCUCGGCUAAGGUGUCUUGGGUAAUGUGUCUUGGCUAAGGUGUCUUGGCUAAAGUGUCUUGGCUAAGGUGUCUUGGCUAAUGUGUCUCGGCUAAUGUGUCUUGGCUAAUGUGUCUUGGCUAAGGCGUCGUGGCUAAUGUGUCUUGGCUAAUGUGUCUUGGCUAAGGUGUCUUGGCUAAUGUGUCUUGGCUAAUGUGUCUUGGCUAAUGUGUAUUGGCUAAGGUGUCUUGGCUAAGGUGUCUUGGCUAAUGUGUCUUGGCUAAUGUGUCUUGGCUAAGGUGUCUUGGCUAAUGUGUCUUUGCUAAGGUGUCUUGGCUAAUGUGUCUUGGCUAAUGUGUCUCGGCUAAUGUGUCUUGGCUAAUGUGUCUUGGCUAAGGUGUCUUGGCUAAUGUGUCUUGGCUAAUGUGUCUUGGCUAAGGUGUCUUGGCUAAGGUGUCUUGGCUAAUGUGUCUUGGCUAAUGUGUCUUGGCUAAUGUGUCUCGGCUAAUGUGUCUUGGCUAAGGUGUUUUGGCUAAGGUGUCUUGGCUAAUGUGUCUUGGCUAAGGUGUCUUGGCUUAUGUGUCUUGGCUAAGGUGUCUUGGCUAAUGUGUCUUGGCUAAGGUGUCUUGGCUAAUGUGUUGUCGGCUAAUGUGUCUUGGCUAAGGUAUCUUGGCUAAGGUGUCUUGGCUUAAGUGUCUUGGCUAAGUUGUCUUGGCUAAUGUGUCUUGGCUAAGGUGUCUUAGCUAAUGUGUCUUCGUUAAUGUGUCUUGGCUAA